CACAGAAGUGCGCGGCUGAGGAAGUCCUAAUAAGGGUCUGCUGACGUGGAUUUUUUUUUGACUCUACUACCGCGAACAUGCCAAUGGGCAGCAUUUGGUCAACUCUCACCGGUUCCUCGCCCCUCUGGCUCAGACGCCUCACCAACGUUCAGCUCCUCGAUCUGUGGGUCUGCAUGCUCUCUCCUGCUCACCCUGCCAAUGAGAUAAGCACCAGGUUAGGACCAUUGUAACUGCCAACGGGGAGCCAGAGGAGAUACGUUAGAUUAAGCAAUCAGCAGGUUCUUCAGCAGUCUUAGAGCUACUUUGACAACACGAAAGGUGAGGAAAGACAUUUAUGAGGCGCGGCCAUUUACAUCCAUCCAUCUGCAGCCUGUGAGGAAUUCAUCGCCGCUUGACUGGAUCGAAGCAAGCUUGCCAAACCAUCUCCAUCAGUGGCGCUCUGUCCAAUCUCAAUCCAUUAUCAUCACAUGAGUGAGCCUAUUGAACGCACAGGCAGCAGCAGCAACUUAAUGAGGUACUCACAGAUAUGAAGAAGGGAAACUUCGACAUGAAGAAAGGAAAAGAGUCCCCUAUCCUCGGUUAGAAGUCCCCUGAACACCGCGGUUAUCACAAGGUGGUCUUUUUUUUCCCUUCACCACUUAUUCCCUUAACACAACUUCCAAAGAUUUUUUUCCUUUAUGACAUUUCUGCUGCCGUGAUUAGAGCCAAUCAACGCUCAGUUUUAUGAAUAUUUAAAGAGACAGCCAAUGGAGAGGCAAGGAUUCCAGAGGGUGGGCGGGUCCGCAGGUGUUCACUCACAGUGUUGAUGUUAGAGCGGGCUCAGCUGGGAGGAGGACGAGGAGCUCCGGCUGCGAUGACUAUGAAAUCAGGAUGUGCGUGGCGUCAAAUUCUCUUUUCAUCACUGGAUCACAACUGAAGCUCGCUUUGCCUGCAGUCUGCUACUCAACCACUGCAGCCUCCAUCCUUGCUCUUGUAUUCCUGUUGUUCCCUCCUCGGGUAAUCAGCCGUUCUCUCAGCAAAGGCCCAUUGAUCGAGCAGCGCUCUACGGCCGCAUGACAUCCAUAAUCACAACAAUGGUGUGACAGCCCGUAUAAAUAAUGUGGCACACAGAGGAGGAAGGAUGUAGGAAUGCAGAGUUAAGGAAGAGUCGGGCCCCAUCUCUUACUGUCCUCCGUAUUAAUUACAGAACUCUCAACCCCUCCUCUUCUGUGGUCAUGAGUUAUUUUCUUACCAAACUUUAUUUGACCUCUGUUUGUUUAAGCAUCCAUUAAUGGCAAGAAGUCGCUUCGUUACACUAAUCACCAAGGCUACUGUAAUAACUGCAAUUAUGAAGAUUAGUUGAGUUAACUAAGGGGCUACAAGGCCAUGAAUGUGACUUCUAUAUAUACAAAAACUAGAAAGCUAUAUUGGGAAUACUAGUUGUUUCAGGCAACAGUGAUGAUGAAUAAAUGAAUAAUGGAAAAGUUAACUGUUAGCAUUCGACCUUAACUUUGACAACAAUGGAUGGUGGUAUGGUGACACUGACUGCUUUAAAUUCGAGUCUUCUUACUUAAAAGCCCAGAUUGUCGAUCCGGCGUUCAGCUCAGCUCUUAAAGGGGAUCUGCACUUUUUUGGAAUUU